CCUACGGGUGGCAGCAGUGAGGAGUAUUGGUCAAUGGACGAGAGUCUGAACCAGCCAAGUAGCGUGAAGGAUGACUGCCCUAUGGGUUGUAAACUUCUUUUAUCUGGGCAUAACAUGUUCCACGUGUGGGAUUUUGUAUGUACCUUAUGAAUAAGGCUCGGCUAACUCCGUGCCAGCAGCCGCGGUAAUACGGAGGAUCCGAGCGUUAUCCGGAUUUAUUGGGUUUAAAGGGAUCGUAGAUGGAUUGUUAAGUCAGUUGUGAAAGUUUGCGGCUCAACCGUAAAAUUGCAGUUGAUACUGGCAGUCUUGAGUACAGUAGAGGUAGGCGGAAUUCGUGGUGUAGCGGUGAAAGGCUUAGAUAGCACGAAGAACUCCGAUUGCGAAGGCAGCUCACUGAACUGCAACUGACAUUGAGGCUCGAAAGUGUGGGUAUCAAACAGGAUUAGAUACCCGUGUAGUC
rnacentral:rRNA from 1 species